rnacentral:rRNA from 1 species
UGUAACGGGGCUAAACCAUGCACCGAAGCUGCGGCAGCGACACUAUGUGUUGUUGGGUAGGGGAGCGUUCUGUAAGCCUGUGAAGGUGGCCUGUGAGGGUUGCUGGAGGUAUCAGAAGUGCGAAUGCUGACAUAAGUAACGAUAAAGCGGGUGAAAAGCCCGCUCGCCGGAAGACCAAGGGUUCCUGUCCAACGUUAAUCGGGGCAGGGUGAGUCGACCCCUAAGGCGAGGCCGAAAGGCGUAGUCGAUGGGAAACAGGUUAAUAUUCCUGUACUUGGUGUUACUGCGAAGGGGGGACGGAGAAGGCUAUGUUGGCCGGGCGACGGUUGUCCCGGUUUAAGCGUGUAGGCUGGUUUUCCAGGCAAAUCCGGAAAACCAAGGCUGAGGCGUGAUGACGAGGCACUACGGUGCUGAAGCGACAAAUGCCCUGCUUCCAGGAAAAGCCUCUAAGCAUCAGGUAACAUCAAAUCGUACCCCAAACCGACACAGGUGGUCAGGUAGAGAAUACCAAGGCGCUUGAGAGAACUCGGGUGAAGGAACUAGGCAAAAUGGUGCCGUAACUUCGGGAGAAGGCACGCUGAUAUGUAGGUGAAGCGACUUGCUCGUGGAGCUGAAAUCAGUCGAAGAUACCAGCUGGCUGCAACUGUUUAUUAAAAACACAGCACUGUGCAAACACGAAAGUGGACGUAUACGGUGUGACGCCUGCCCGGUGCCGGAAGGUUAAUUGAUGGGGUUAGCGGUAACGCGAAGCUCUUGAUCGAAGCCCCGGUAAACGGCGGCCGUAACUAUAACGGUCCUAAGGUAGCGAAAUUCCUUGUCGGGUAAGUUCCGACCUGCACGAAUGGCGUAAUGAUGGCCAGGCUGUCUCCACCCGAGACUCAGUGAAAUUGAACUCGCUGUGAAGAUGCAGUGUACCCGCGGCAAGACGGAAAGACCCCGUGAACCUUUACUAUAGCUUGACACUGAACAUUGAGCCUUGAUGUGUAGGAUAGGUGGGAGGCUUUGAAGUGUGGACGCCAGUCUGCAUGGAGCCGACCUUGAAAUACCACCCUUUAAUGUUUGAUGUUCUAACGUUGGCCCCUAAUCGGGGUUGCGGACAGUGUCUGGUGGGUAGUUUGACUGGGGCGGUCUCCUCCUAAAGAGUAACGGAGGAGCACGAAGGUUGGCUAAUCCUGGUCGGACAUCAGGAGGUUAGUGCAAUGGCAUAAGCCAGCUUGACUGCGAGCGUGACGGCGCGAGCAGGUGCGAAAGCAGGUCAUAGUGAUCCGGUGGUUCUGAAUGGAAGGGCCAUCGCUCAACGGAUAAAAGGUACUCCGGGGAUAACAGGCUGAUACCGCCCAAGAGUUCAUAUCGACGGCGGUGUUUGGCACCUCGAUGUCGGCUCAUCACAUCCUGGGGCUGAAGUAGGUCCCAAGGGUAUGGCUGUUCGCCAUUUAAAGUGGUACGCGAGCUGGGUUUAGAACGUCGUGAGACAGUUCGGUCCCUAUCUGCCGUGGGCGCUGGAGAACUGAGGGGGGCUGCUCCUAGUACGAGAGGACCGGAGUGGACGCAUCACUGGUGUUCGGGUUGUCAUGCCAAUGGCACUGCCCGGUAGCUAAAUGCGGAAGAGAUAAGUGCUGAAAGCAUCUAAGCACGAAACUUGCCCCGAGAUGAGUUCUCCCUGAGACUUAGAGUCUCCUGAAGGAACGUUGAAGACGACGACGUUGAUAGGCCGGGUGUGUAAGCGCAGCGAUGCGUUGAGCUAACCGGUACUAAUGAACCGUGAGGCUUAACCUU